rnacentral:rRNA from 1 species
UACGGGGGGGGUAAGCGUUGUUCGGAAUUACUGGGCGUAAAGAGCGUGUAGGCGGCCAGAUAAGUCCGCUGUGAAAUCUCGAGGCUCAACUUCGAGCUGUCGGUGGAAACUAUCUGGCUAGAGUCCGGAAGAGGAGAAUGAAUUCCUGGUGUAGCGGUGAAAUGCGCAGAUAUCAGGAAGAACACCCGUGGCGAAGGCGGUUCUCUGGGACGGUACUGACGCUGAGACGCGAAAGCGUGGGGAGCGAGCAGG